rnacentral:rRNA from 1 species
UACAGAGGGUGCGAGCGUUAAUCGGAAUUAUUGGGCGUAAAGCGCGCGCAGGCGGUCCUUUAAGUCUGAUGUGAAAUCUCGCGGCUCAACCGCGAGCGGUCAUUGGAAACUGGGGGACUUGAGUGCAGAAGAGGAAAGCGGAAUUCCACGUGUAGCGGUGAAAUGCGUAGAGAUGUGGAGGAACACCAGUGGCGAAGGCGGCUUUCUGGUCUGUAACUGACGCUGAGGCGCGAAAGCGUGGGGAGCAAACAGG